AUCAAUGAAGAAUUAACCCUGACCCGAAGCGGAAGUUUUUACUUUUUUUUUAGUUACUUUAAAUAUAAAUUACCACGACGUGGGUUUCUUGCGGGACUGUUGGUUCGAAACCCACAGCUUUACAUUUAUAACAUUUAUAUUAAUGUUGUUAAUGUUAGCUAAAAAGAAGUGGCUAGCCUUUCCUCUCUGCUUUUUUUGUGAGUGGUGCUAGCUCUCCACAACAUUAAAAUGUAUUUUGAGUCAAAUUAUGGAGAAGACGAAGAACAGCGAGACUUAUUCGUGAAUCUGGGCUAUGGAGGACAGAGUUAUCUGUGGCACAUUGACGGCAGGAACAAAAAAGUUUACCAGCGGAAGAACCGCCAUGUUGGAUUCACUUCCGAGGUUGUCAAAGUCCUGAAGCAUCCCAGACCAUCUUUCUACCACCACCAUGUUUAACAGAAGAAAUCAUCUCACUGUUGACACGUCUCGUCUUGUCGAUGUUCUGGAUGCUGACUUCGCCACAGCUGUUCGCCGCCUGGAUCUAAAGAGAAAAGU